UUCCAUCGUCACCUAAAUACAUACAACAGUGCACGCGUUUGUCACCGAGAGAGACUUGUGCGUGCCAGGAUCGGCUUUCCAUUUUUUUUCUUUUUCUGAGAGAGAUCAAUUUUCCACAUUAACGAUGCUGCAUCUGUCGGCCGUUUUGUUCUCCGGCACCAGGAUGCGGAGGUCAACUUCUUCCUCUUGUUUUUCCGAAUGGGGAAUUUCUAGCCUACGUGUAUUGCAUUUAGAAGUUUGGCCGGACAAUGCGUCAUGGGUCAUGUACGUAUGUCAAGACUGAAAUUGUGGUUCCACCAAACAAUUGGCAUCCAGGGAAUUGCAUUGCAUCGCAUCGACACAAUCCAGGCAAAAGUGAGCUGGAUGGUGCGUUUGCGGUGUGGCGGGUGGCAGACGGGACCUGGACCAGACAUCGUUUACCAUGCUGUCCUCCUCUCACUUUACCAACAAUUUCUUCGCUUUCCCACGGCAGCGUACCUGUGAAACUGAAACUGGUGCAGCGUCACGUUUGGUGUAAUCUUGUUGGCUUGUGCUCGUUCCGUGGAUGGACGGAUGCCAAUUCUAGUUUUAGUGGAGUACAACUUGGCAUUGGGAUCGUGAUAGGAUGGCCCCUAAUAGAUGAUUUCUCAACAUCCAGGACAUAAUAAUUUCCAAAAAAUCAACGGUGUUGAUCCCACACUAAUCUCGAGGAACCCGUGAUGUGGGCAAUGAAUACCUAUGACUUUGGCAAGCAUUAAAUCUACACGCGAGGCACGAGGGUGUCGACGAUCCCCUUCUUCUUCCCCUCCAACCUUCGUCUCAGAUCUCGGUGAUGGAAGGGCCUUUGGCGUGGGGGGAGAUCAUGGCGGCGGCAAUCGCGGGUAGCGACGAGACGAAGAUGGCGAGGCUUCGCGAGAUCUGUGGGCAGUACAGGGAUGCGGAGGAGAUGCAUCAGGAAUCACGUCGGGUGUUUGAAGAGGCCUCAGAGGAGGAACAAAGUUGGAUCUCAGGGAAGCCCCCGCUCGAGAUUCUCUAUUGGGCAAUGAUGGAGGCGGAAUCCAACGAUCCGGUGCAGCGCGCGCGGUGGUACCGCUACGCGUCGUAUGAUUGGGUUUCGUCCAAUCUGAUCUGGGAUGGUGUGCGGGUGGUGACCACGGCGACAAGGUCACCGCCACACUGUCCGGUGAUGCCUGUCAUGACCGACGACGAUGUGCGGGUGGUGCCGAGGCAAAAUGUGGCGCGGGUGAUUUCACAGCUGCCUCGUCGCUCCCCUCGGUUCCCCCGGCGUUCUGCGCGGAUCCAGGCGCUUGCACAGCGCGCCGCCGACGAGUAGGCGUCUUCCUGGCAUGCAGUCAAUUAUGGCUGCUGCCGGGGAGGAGUCGACGACUCCUACAAUCGUUUUGCUGCUUCAUUUUCAAAUAAAAGGAGGGAAAUCAAAGGGUGUGUCCGCUAGGAGCAAAAGUCAUGGACUAGGUGGCAUGUGAAGCCUACCAUGCAGCGUGGGGGUGGCGUUGUCCGGGGGUUCUUCUGAGGAUCACUGGCUGAAUUUCCUCGACUGGCUAUGUCUCUCGCGUGGUGCACCUCUCCUAUGUUGGCCUUACUUCUGGAUGCAUUGAUUCUCCUUUGAUGAUCCACCUAUCAGCCGACUGAGUUUUUAGUAUCGUUCUUCGGUUAAACUUGUGUGCGCCUUUGGUGUAUAAUAAUAAAUUGGAGUUUGGUGAUUUGUUGCAUGUUUAGUCGCUUUGCUGUUCAGCAGCAGGGGCUUGUGAUCGAUCGAACCAAACGACUAAUGGUAAAACAUGUGAAAGAACAUGCUAUACUACUUUGUGUGUUGGGUGUGAAGGCCCCUGUA